UACAGGGGGUGCAAACGUUGCUCGGAAUUAUUGGGCGUAAAGCGCGCGUAGGCGGCCGCUUAAGUCGGAUGUGAAAGCCCCUGGCUCAACUGGGGAAGUGCACCCGAAACUGAGUGGCUUGAGUACUAAAGAGGGUCGCGGAAUUCCCGGUGUAGAGGUGAAAUUCGUAGAUAUCGUGAGGAACACCAGAGGCGAAGGCGGCUACCUGGACAAUUGCUGACGCUCAGGCACGAAAGCGUGGGGAGCAAAAGGG
rnacentral:rRNA from 1 species